rnacentral:rRNA from 1 species
CCUACGUGAGGCAGCAGUGAGGAAUAUUGGUCAAUGGCCGUAAGGCUGAACCAGCCAAGUAGCGUGAGGGAAGACUGCCCUAUGGGUUGUAAACCUCUUUUAUGCGGGGAUAAAGGUGUCCACGUGUGGAUGUUUGCAGGUACCGCAUGAAUAAGUACCGGCUAAUUCCGUGCCAGCAGCCGCGGUAAUUCGGAAGGUCCGGGCGUGAUCCGGAUUUAUUUGGUUUAAAGGGAGCGUAGGCCGGUCUUUCAGCGUGCCGUGAAAUUUUGUGGCUCAACCAUGAGAGUGCGGCGCGAACUGGAGACCUUGAGGGCGCGGAAGGCAGGCGGAAUUCGUGGUGUAGCGGUGAAAUGCUUAGAUAUCACGAAGAACCCCGAUUGCGAAGGCAGCCGGCCGAAGCGGUACUGACGCUGAAGCUCGAAAGCGCGGGUAUCGAACAGGAUUAGAUACCCUUGUAUC